GAUGAAGAACGCAGCGAAAUGCGAUAAGUAAUGUGAAUUGCAGAAUUCAGUGAAUCAUCGAAUCUUUGAACGCAUCUUGCGCUCCUUGGUAUUCUGAGGAGCAUGCCUGUUUGAGUGUCAUUAAAUUCUCAACUACACUGACUUUGAAUUGGUGUGGCUUGGAUUUGGGGGGAAAAUUGUUGUGGGCUUUUUGUAUAGUCUGCUCCCCUGAAAUUGAUUAGCGGUACCUUUGUGGAACUGUCUACAGGUGUGAUAAUUAUCUACAUCUUAGACAUCUGCUGGAAUGCUGCUUUCUAAACCUUACUUGUAUUGACAAUCUUGACCUUAAAUCAGGUAGGACUACCCGCUGAACUUAAGCAUAUCAAUAAGCGGAGGA
rnacentral:misc_RNA from 1 species